ensembl:lncRNA
CCCAGACCGGAGGUCUUCUGGGAAGGCUUCCUGGGCAGGCGCGCGGAGGCGAACGAGGACCAGGCCAGGGGUGGCGGCGGUGGUGCUUUGAUUUCAGGGAGAGGGCGUGUGAAGAGCAGGGAGGAGCGCGGCACCGGGGCCUCUCGGGGCAGGUGUGCGGCCCGAACGGACCUGCACAGCCGGGUCUGCCUCCGGCCGCCCGUCGCGUUCCUGAGUGCCCCGCGUCCUCCAGGCGGUCCUCUGUCCGGCUCCGCUGAGGUCGGAAGCCGGAAGAGCCGCUCCUGCGGCGGGGCGUCCGCUCCGGUCGCCAGCACGCCUGGCGCCCCGCCGCCCUCCCGCGGACGUCUGCUGGCAGCGCGCCUCCCGCUGAGUCAGCGGUACAAAGCACAACAGCAAAGGGCCUCCUUCACCUACUGGCAGAGGCUUCCUGGCUCUCAGUCUUCACUUGCCACCCCUGACCUUAGACAGAGUCCUCAACCUCCAUGAGCAAUAAAUCUGCAUACCUGUUUGUUUAUACCCCAUGUGCAUUGAAUCCUGGUAACUGUGAUUACCUGGGGUGGGGGAGGAUGGGAGGAAUUGGGCAUAGGAAGAGGACUUACUAUUCACUCUACUUAAGUGCUGUUUAAAUUCUGUUACAUACAUAUUACUUCACAUUUUUUAUUUAAAAACAUUUCAAGCCGGAGCGCCUGGGUGGCUCAAUCUAUUAAGUGUCUGCCUUCGGCACAGGUCAUGAUCCCAGGGUCCUGGGAUCAAGCCCUGACUCAGGUUCUCUGCUCAGUGGGGAGCCUGCUUCUCCCUCUCCCUCUACCCGGCCCCCCACCAGUUGUGUUCUUGCACUGUCUGCUCUCUCUCAAAUAAGUAAAUAAAAAAUCCUUUAGAAAAUCCCAAAACAUUUCAAGCCUACAGAAAGUUGUCAGGAACACAUGUAACUGUCCUGUACCCACCAACAAGUUCCUGCAUUCUACCUUCCUCCCAUAGACCCCUUCAGCUACCCCCUACAUUUCCCCCUGGGAGUGAAUGAAGCCUCAGAAUGCUUAACAUUCCCAGCAGUGGGCAGUGCUGACAGCUAAUAUGUCAGAAGUCCAGCUGAAAAUUAGUUGCCAUCCAGGGACCCCUCGGUGGCUCGGUUGGUUAAGUGCCUGCCUUCGGCUCAGGUUAUGAUCCCAGGGUCUUGAGACUGAGUCCCACAUUGGGGCUCUCUGCUCAGCGAGGAGCCUGCUUCUCUCUCUCUCUGUCAAAUAAAUAAAUAAAAUCUUAAAAAAAAAAAAAGGAAGUUGGUUGCCAUCGUGUAGACUAUCAGCAUGCAGUCUUUUUAUUUUGAAAAUUUAGACUUCACGAAAAAGCUGCCAGUGUAGCACCCUCCGCUCAGAUUCCCCUAAUGUUAACCACAGAAGGACCAAAACCAGGGGAUUAACAAUGAUAUAACACUGUUCACUUGUCUACUAGCCUUAUUUGGAUUUUGCCAAAUAUCCCACCAACAUCCUGUUUCUGGUUCAGGAUCCCUUUCGGAAUCCCACGGGGCAUUUAGUUGACCUGCCCCCUUCAACUCCCACCUGGGAUAGUACCUCAGUGUCUCUGUGCCACAGCAGCGCUUGGGCCAGUAAUUUUGUAGGACAGAUCUCCCUGUUUUCUCCUUACUAGUUUGAAAUUUUGCAUUUUUGGCAAGAAUACCACAGAAAUUAUGUGCCCUUCUCCGGAUACCCUAUCAAGUAGUGCCGAUGUGUCUAAUUACUGCUCAUGAUAAUUUUGAUGACUUGGUAAAAGUGGUGUCUCCCUGAGGAUUCUCUGCUAUACAGUCACUGUUUUCCUUUGUAAUUAAUAAACAUUCUAUGGGGAGAUGCUGUAUGACUAUAUAAAUAUCCUGUUCUCUCAUACUUUUUCCCACUAAUUUUGAUGAUACUUGUUUGCAACAGUUAUUACUGUGGUUUUUACCAAAUAGUGAUUUUUCUAUUUCCACUGUUCUUUCUACAUUGAUGGGAAUUCUACCAUAAAAAGGAACUGUCUCUUUCUCCCAUUUAUUUACUUAGUCCAUUAUUUUUAUAUCUUUAUGGAUGGUCUCUUUGGUAUUUAUUUCAUUCUGUGGGUUAUACUCCAUUACUCUUAUUCUUUGUUCAAAUUUUACCAGAUUUGACGAUUGAGAGCUCCUCUAAGCUGUCUUCUGUGCUCCUUGACUUGCCUCCAUCAUUCCUGGAGCACUUCCUUACUGUCUGGCACAAGAUGUUCCAGGCUCAUCUGGUACUUUCCCUGCCCUAGCCCUGGAAUCAGCCAUUUCUCUAGGAGCCCUGUUUGUUUUACUGGAGAAUGGUAUUUAGGAAGUAGGAUCUAGGCACAA